UACAGAGGUGGCAAGCGUUGUCCGGAUUCAUUGGGCGUAAAGAGCGUGUAGGCGGCCAGGUAGGUCGGUUGUGAAAACUGGAGGCUCAACCUUCAGAGGUCGACCGAAACCAUCUGGCUAGAGUCCGGGAGAGGAGAGUGGAAUUCCUGGUGUAGCGGUGAAAUGCGCAGAUAUCAGGAGGAACACCGGUGGCGAAGGCGGCAUCCUGGACCGGUAUUGACGCUGAGGCGCGAAAGCCAGGGGAGCAAACGGG
rnacentral:rRNA from 1 species